UUAUCAUUCUCAUCCCGUGAGCAUCCCAAACCUCCCAGCUCCUCUGUUUCCAGCGGAACAAAUCUUAUCCCGUGAUCUUAUUCUUCCGACUUCUUCUUAGCUCACGAAUCAAGUCCAACAAAUCUCACAAUGUAACUCCCCCUGUAAUCAACCUUAUCCCAGCAUCCUCAUCCCCUUCCGUCCACAUGAAUCCAGCAACCGUAUUCAUCCUCAUCUCCCGUUCGCAUAUGCUGUGAUUCUCCCCUGUUUCACAUACAUCCCAGUUGUGAGUUCCUCCCAGAACAGCCGAGAUCCUCUCCGCUUCAUUCCUUCCACAAUCAAAGCAACCCGCUUUCAUCUCUGCUUCGGAUCUUCUCCGUGAUCCGACUUCAUCCUUUCCAAACCAAAUCCAAAACCAAGCCAACCCGCGACGGAUUCCUUCCACGUCACGUCCACAGAUCAAGCUUAUCCCCUGUUUCAGAACCAACUCUCAUCCCGCUUGUGAUUCCCUGCAUCCCAAAGCAGAAUCCCAUGAUCCACGGGAUGAACCCAAAUCCAAUUCUUCCAGCAUCUCCUCUCAGCCGAGAACACCACCCCCCUGAUCCCAGCCUCGAAACAGAGUUCAUCCUUAUCCCACGGAUCUCCCAGCUCAUCCCCUGCUCACAGAUCCAUCCAACUUUCAUCCCCUGCAGCCAAGGAUCAAGCCGACUUCAUCCCAUUCCGAUCCUAGCUCCCAUUCGUCCACGUCCCCAGCCUCCUUCCGAGGAAAACCAGCAACCAUACAACGUCUCCCAUCAUCCGCGGAAGAGAGGAAGCCUCCACGAGUUUAUCCAACGAUCGGAUCAACCAC
rnacentral:lncRNA from 1 species